rnacentral:rRNA from 1 species
UACGUAGGGGGCAAGCGUUGUCCGGAUUUAUUGGGCGUAAAGAGCUCGUAGGCGGUUUGGUAAGUCUGGUGUGAAAUCUCCACGCUCAACGUGGAGGGGCCACCCGAUACUGCCAUGACUGGAGUCCGGUAGAGGAGUGUGGAAUUCCCGGUGUAGCGGUGAAAUGCGUUGAUAUCAGGAGGAACACCGGCGGCGAAGGCGGUGGUCUGGUCGGUUUCUGACGCUGAGGAGCGAAAGCUAGGGGAGCAAACGGG